AUCCAUAAAGCCCCGCGCGGUGCCCGGGCACCGCGUUUGACAUAACGCGACUUUUCCCUAUAGCCCCGCGCGGUGCCCGGGCACCGCGCCUGUCCACUCGACUUUAACACUUGAAAUCACUGUUUACAAACUACUUUUGUAUAAAGAAGUUGAGUGACAUGUGUCGUUAGUGACAUUUUCUAUGUCGUGAACCAAAAACGAAACGUAAUCUACGCGCCAUUAUUUAAAAUUUGAUCAAGACAUUUGUCAUUUUCGCGGGCCGUUGCGCAGUGUGGUGCAGUGUUGUUUUUUGCGGAUUUCACAAAUUUGUCUGAGAAUGUCAGCUUGGCGUCCAAGUGACGAGGCUCCUCAAGACUUCAUCGCCCUUCUCCAUAACAGCAAAGACGAAUUAUUGUUUUUUGUACACAUCUGAACAACUUAAUUAUAAAUUGUCAAUAAAAAUGC